UUCGGUUGAUCCUGCCGAAGGCUACUGCUAUUGGAGUUCGAUUAAGCCAUGCGAGUCUAAGGGGUACUUGUACCCCUGGCAUAAUGCUCAGUAACACGUGGAUAAUCUACCCUUAGGUGGGGCAUAAACCCGGGAAACUGGGGCUAAUUCCCCAUAGAUACAGAAGGCUGGAAUGCCUCUGUAUUCAAAGCUCCGGCGCCUAAGGAUGAGUCUGCGACCUAUCAGGUAGUAGUCAGGGUCACGACCUGACUAGCCAACGACGGGUACGGGGUGUGAGAGCACUUGCCCGGAGAUGGUUUCUGAGACACGAAACCAGGCCCUACGGGGCGCAGCAGGCGCGAAAACUUCGCAAUGCGGGAAACCGUGACGAGGGAACUCCAAGUGUCUAUGCAAUGCAUAGACUGUUUUUCAGCCUAAAUAGCUGUUAGAGUAAGGGGUGGGUAAGACCGGUGCCAGCCGCCGCGGUAACACCGGCACCCCGAGUGGUAGCCACUAUUAUUGGGCCUAAAGCGUUCGUAGCCGGUUUAGUAAAUUCUUGGGUAAAUCGUACAGCUUAACUGUGCGGAUUCCGGGGACACUACUAGACUUGAGACCGGGAGAGAUUAGAGGUACUUGCAGGGGAGCGGUGAAAUGUUGUAAUCCUGCAGGGACCACCAGUGGCGAAGGCGUCUAAUCAUAACGGCUCUGACGGUGAGGAACGAAACCCUGGGGCGCAAACGGGAUUAGAUACCCCGGUAGUCCAGGGCGUAAACGCUGCUGACUUGGUGUUGGAGAUCCUACGAGGGUGUCCAGUGCUGGCGCGAAGGUAUUAAGUCAGCCGCCUGGGGAGUACGGUCGCAAGACUGAAACUUAAAGGAAUUGGCGGGGGAGCACUGCAACGUGUGGAGCGUGCGGUUUAAUUGGAUUCAACGCCGGAAAACUCACCGGGGGCGACGGUUACAUGAAGGCCAAGCUGAUGACUUUGCCUGAUUUUCCGAGAGGUGGUGCAUGGCCGCCGUCAGUUCGUACCGUAAGGCGUUCUGUUAAGUCA
rnacentral:rRNA from 1 species